UCCCUCCUUCGUUCCUUCCUAUGUUCUUCACUAAUCAAGUAAUCAGAAAGGUCAACUCAAAGAAAGAAAAAGUGAAAACCCUAGGUAGCCUCCACUGCCGCCGAACGGAGUGAGCCACUGCCGUCGUCCGUCGUUGUCCAAGGCUUCUCUCUUCGUCCUUCGGCGUUCUCCAAGUCUCCAACCGCUGUCCGCUCUCAGAUUCACCGGUCGCAGUCGCGCAGCUUCUUCCUCGAGCGUCCGUUGUCUUCGUCUUCUUGCCGUCGUCUUCGUCUGCUGACUCUGCUCGCCGCGGUUCUCGCCGUCUCAGACCGAAGAAAACCCUUCUCCAUUCCAAUCUCCUUCCUUCGAGUUCAGAGAUCAGAAGUUCAACCAAGAGAAAAACCCUAGCCUCCACCACCGUCGCAAGGAGCAGCCGUGUUUGCCACCGUCCGCCGCAGUCAGGGUUGUCUCUUUGAGUCUUCGUCCGCCGCAGUCAGUGCUCACUUGUUCUUGUUUCUUUUUUAUGCUCUUUUCAGAAAUCAUUGAACGAUUAUUGAAUGUUUAUGUUUUUAUUGAAUGAUUAUCUGAUUAAUGAUUAUUGAUUAGCUCCUC